GAUGAACGCUGGCGGCGUGCCUAAUACAUGCAAGUCGAGCGAACAGACGAGGAGCUUGCUCCUCUGACGUUAGCGGCGGACGGGUGAGUAACACGUGGAUAACCUACCUAUAAGACUGGGAUAACUUCGGGAAACCGGAGCUAAUACCGGAUAAUAUAUUGAACCGCAUUGUUCAAUAGUGAAAGACGGUUUUGCUGUCACUUAUAGAUGGAUCCGCGCCGCAUUAGCUAGUUGGUAAGGUAACGGCUUACCAAGGCAACGAUGCGUAGCCGACCUGAGAGGGUGAUCGGCCACACUGGAACUGAGACACGGUCCAGACUCCUACGGGAGGCAGCAGUAGGGAAUCUUCCGCAAAGGGCGAAAGCCUGACGGAGCAACGCCGCGUGAGUGAUGAAGGUCUUCGGAUCGUAAAACUCUGUUAUUAGGGAAGAACAAAUGUGUAAGUAACUAUGCACGUCUUGACGGUACCUAAUCAGAAAGCCACGGCUAACUACGUG
rnacentral:rRNA from 1 species